CCCUUGCAGGUUACAGUCUUCCCAAAGUUAUGGUAGUGAAGAUAAAAUUUGGUAUUAGUAGCUGAACUUUUGAAUUUUUGGCCAAUGUCCAAACCUUCCCAGUUUUUACCAUGGCUGAUUUUUAUAGGUGCUUUUUUUACAGUAUUGAAGUUGGGCUUAUAGAUGAUGCUGGAUUCAUUUUUAUUUUGUUGAGGCUUGUUUUAUUUGCACUUAGGUAUGUAGUUGUGGUGCGUGCUCUGAAGGGAUUUUGCAUCUUAGUUGGUUUCUUUGGUGGUCUUGAAGAAAGGGCAAAAUUAAUGCUGCACAUAAUGAGCCUGUUAUUAAAACUUUAUUCAUAGGUGAGCAGGAGGAGCAUAGAAAAUUUAUUCAUUUAUAUGCAUCUAUAUUAAAUAAAUAUGAAUAUAUAUGUAGUCAUAUUUUUCAUGGAGACUGAAUUCCAAAAAACCGUCUCUGCUUUUUAAAUCCAAAAGCAAACAUAACUGGUUUUGAUGCCUCCCACUCUCUGCAAUGAAAGUGGUUUAUCCUUGUAAAGAUAAAAGAUUUUUUACUUUGUGGAAGUAAUUUGAUUGUAACCUUUGGUAUCGUUGCUGUCUGUCAUUUUUCUCUUUCACAAAGUUUAAUCCUUAAGAAAUUGUGAAAACUCCUGAAAUUUUAGAAAAAACAUCUUUGACCUGUAUGAAAAAGGCAUUUUUGAAUCUGCAAAUUGUUGGGUAUUUCUUUCUUUGGUAAUGGUUUGUUGGGGGGUUUUAAAGUCGAACAGAAUGUAGUUUGAGAGGGAGAGAUCUGAAAGAGCUGGGACAGAGUUGUCUGAGCCAGAUGCUGCAGAGAUACCUCUCCUCUCCCUUAAAUUGUUCUGAAAUGUCCUUAUAUUUUGCAGCACAUGAGUUGUGCUCUUGGCUGCCAUUUCCUUCCUGCAGCCUCCCAAAGUGAUGCAAAGGCUUCCCUUAUCCUAAUGGUGAGGUCAGAUUGUACCAGUGUGCUCUGGAACAGCCUUUUCUGUGCUCAAAGGCACUUACAUCUCACCAAGGCUCUCCUUUGGCUAAUAAAGGUUUUCAGCUUUGAGUGUGUUGUUGCUACACUCAUGGAGAGAGACAGAGUGUUCUCAUCAUGUGAUCCUCUUACAAGGAUACAAGAGCUUCAUCAGUUUAAUUUCCAGGUUUUAAUUUCUUGCAUCCUAUUCCUCAGAAGGCCAGGGACUAAAAGGAGUUCCAUCCCUCGUAGCAUGCAUGGAAAAGGGAUUUGUGGCUCCUGGGCUUCUUUUCCAGCUCUCUCCAACUUCAUCAGUGUUACCAUCACUGCUGCUCACCUCAGUGACCCCACCUGGAAACUUACCAUCUUGCUUGGUUCAUCCCUUCCUCUCAAGGCAGCUUUCAAAAGAGAAUAUGUCUGGUUGCAGAAACCAGCAAGGAUUUGGCUGCUGCAGCACAGUUAUUUACACUUCCUUACCAGUUUGCCUGCUACAAUCAGCAUCUCCUGUGGGAGUGAGAAUGAAAGGACUUCAGUGUGUCCCCUGUGUAAGUUUUGACCACCUAAGACAAUUGUAAGGUG
ensembl:lncRNA